rnacentral:lncRNA from 1 species
ACUGACAGUACUUUUCACAGCUGCAGAGCAUUACCUUCUGACUCUGUAUGUUUCAGCUUCUGCGUUGUUGUCCAGUUGCUCAGUCAUGUCCUACUCGUUGUGACCCCAUGGACUGCAGCACACCAGGCUUCCCUGUCCUUCACCAUCUCCUGGAGCUUGCUCAACUCAUGUCCAUUGAGUCGGUGAUGCCAUUCCCUUCUCCUCCUGCCUUCAAUCUUCUAGGUCCCUGGAAUGUCCUGACCUCCCAGAGCUCUUAGAACAAAUUAAAUGUUCUUCAUGAAAACAACUGUGUAAGUAUCAGAACCCACAGCCUUUGCAUGGAGAACUGUAAUCACUACAUGUGGAAGACCAGCAGAAAGGAUGUCUCAAGAAGCAUCAGACCCUCCCACCAACACCCCAACACUGAGCCACAGGCUACUGUCUUUCAUCAUUUUGACUUUGAGUGUAAAGUCAAAGUAUACCCAGUGAGAGAGGCAAGGUGAGGCAGCUUUAAGUGAACCCAGGUCUAUCACUCACAGCUGAGACUUCAGGCAAGUCCUCCAUCCUCCUUGAAAAGCAAGUUCCACCUUGACAGUGACCACAUGCCCACCACUACCUUUCUUUCAAGGAGUCCUCGGCAAUCUAUGAAGCACUUCCACAGAUUUGAUGUUUUACAUCUAAACCAAGUCGAGUGCACCCAAAAGAUGAUGGAUACUCUGGGCUGUGAAAGCUUUGAAAAGUUGCCUGGUCUCCAAAUGCCCUAGUGGUGGAGUUCCUACCUCCAGCCUCCUUUAAGUUGCCUCACCUACAGAAUACAGCAUCCUCAACACAACAGUUUUGCAGAGACAGGCAUUUGUCGGGACAGGGGGAGGAGGUGAUGGGUAAGGAGGAAGAAAUAAUGACAAAGAAGCACUUGGGUGUUUGUUCUGAGACAUUCAACUCCAAUUUACAAACUAGCAACACCACCAUUGACUAAGCGAGGCUCUAGUUGCCAGAGUAACCGGAUUGGGGAAUGAGGGAAACCUGCCACCUUGUGGCCAUUUCCUGUAACAACAACUUUAAAACCCGUUAGAGUCCAGUCCCCACAGCAGGACUAGGCUUGGAUCCCAAGGCUGAAGUAAGGUGGGAUUUAGGGAGGAGUAGAGGUGGUUCUAGCAUUUGAACCCUCUUUCAGGCCUAUAUUUCUUGUUCCCCUCUGGGUGGGAACACAUUUUCCUGAUGCAGAUGGGCCAGCCAGGUGCCAACCC